GGGAGGGCAUGGGGUCUGGUGGCCCCUCUGGACUUCAAAUCCAGCACGGCUUCUGACGAAGGGGCUGGGUGGGUUCGAUUCCCACAUCCUCCCGCCA
rnacentral:tRNA from 2 species